CAGGUAGUUGGUGGGGUAAAGGCUCACCAAGCCUUCGAUCUGUAGCUGGUCUGAGAGGACGACCAGCCACACUGGGACUGAGACACGGCCCAGACUCCUACGGGAGGCAGCAGUGGGGAAUUUUGGACAAUGGGCGCAAGCCUGAUCCAGCCAUUCCGCGUGCAGGAUGAAGGCCUUCGGGUUGUAAACUGCUUUUGUACGGAACGAAAAGCCGCCUUCUAAUACAGGGCGGUCAUGACGGUACCGUAAGAAUAAGCACCGGCUAACUACGUGCCAGCAGCCGCGGUAAUACGUAGGGUGCAAGCGUUAAUCGGAAUUACUGGGCGUAAAGCGUGCGCAGGCGGUGAUGUAAGACAGAUGUGAAAUCCCCGGGCUCAACCUGGGAACUGCAUUUGUGACUGCAUCGCUAGGGUACGGCAGAGGGGGAUGGAAUUCCGCGUGUAGCAGUGAAAUGCGUAGAUAUGCGGAGGAACACCGAUGGCGAAGGCAAUCCCCUGGGCCUGUACUGACGCUCAUGCACGAAAGCGUGGGGAGCAAA
rnacentral:rRNA from 1 species